rnacentral:rRNA from 1 species
CUGCCCCUGACUCUGGGAUAACAGUUGGAAACAUCUGCUAAUACCGGAUAUGAGACGUGACCGCAUGGUCGACGUUUGGAAAGAAUUUCGGUCAGGGAUGAGCUCGCGGCCUAUCAGCUUGUUGGUGAGGUAAUGGCUCACCAAGGCGUCGACGGGUAGCCGGCCUGAGAGGGUGACCGGCCACACUGGGACUGAGACACGGCCCAGACUCCUACGGGAGGCAGCAGUGGGGAAUAUUGCACAAUGGGCGAAAGCCUGAUGCAGCAACGCCGCGUGAGGGACGACGGCCUUCGGGUUGUAAACCUCUUUUAGCAGGGAAGAAGCGAAAGUGACGGUACCUGCAGAAAAAGCGCCGGCUAACUACGUGCCAGCAGCCGCGGUAAUACGUAGGGCGCAAGCGUUAUCCGGAAUUAUUGGGCGUAAAGAGCUCGUAGGCGGUUUGUCGCGUCUGCUGUGAAAACUGGAGGCUCAACCUCCAGCCUGCAGUGGGUACGGGCAGACUAGAGUGCGGUAGGGGAGAUUGGAAUUCCUGGUGUAGCGGUGGAAUGCGCAGAUAUCAGGAGGAACACCGAUGGCGAAGGCAGAUCUCUGGGCCGUAACUUGACGCUGAGGAGCGAAAGGGUGGGGAGCAAACAGGCUUAGAUACCCUGGUAGUCCACCCCGUAAACGUUGGGAACUAGUUGUGGGGUCCAUUCCACGGAUUCCGUGACGCAGCUAACGCAUUAAGAUUCCCGC